rnacentral:lncRNA from 1 species
UCUCAGUUCCACCAGGGAUGCGGCACAGCAUCGGUGAUUACUGUAGCCGAUAUGAGCAGUUCCUACGGAUCAUUUCUCAUGAGGCUAUAGGCUCCUUCAACCCAUGGCUAAUAGCUGAAAGGCAAUGUGAAAUGGGAUUUACAGGAACCACUGGGAAUACUUUUGUAUUUGAUAUGAACAUAGUAGACUAUUUACCACCUCGGAGAAAAAUAAAUGCUAAUAAACCUAA